CAGUCGCCACGGGAAUACAGAGGAUGCAAGCGUUAUACGGAAUGAUUGGGUGUAAAGGGUGUGCAGACGGCUUAUUAAGUCACUUGUUAAAUUCUUCGGCCUAACUGAAGGUCUGCAAGUGAUACUGAUGAGCUAGAGGGUGGAAGAGAGAAGUGGAAUUCUCGGAGUAGCGGUAAAAUGCGUAGAUCUCGAGAGGAACACCAAUGGCGAAGGCAGCUUCUUGGUCCAUUCCUGACGUUCAUACACGAAAGCGUGGGGAGCAAACAGGAUUAGAUACCCCUGUAGUCCCUGUCUCUUAUAC
rnacentral:rRNA from 1 species